AAAAAAAAAAAGAAAGAAAGAAAAGAAAACAGAGGACUUUAAAACCGUUAUUAUGUCAAUAUUCUAUGGGUCCAAAGAAUUAAGCAGAGGUAUCAAACAUAUAAAAAUGGUCAGAAUCAAACUUUGGAGAUUAAAAACUACAACAUCUGAGAUAAUAAAUUCACUGGAUGCAAUUAACAGCAGAUUAGACACUGCAGAAAAAAAGAUUAUGAAACACAAAGCCGCCGGGCACCGUGGCUCAGGCCUGUAAUCCCAGCACUUUGGGAGGCGGAGGCGGGUGGAUCACGAUGUCCAGAGAUAGAGCCCAUCCUGGCUAAAACAGUGAGACCCCCGUCUUUACAAAAAAAAAAUAUAUAUAUAUAAAUUAGCUGGACAUGGUGGCGGGCGCCUGUAGUCCCAGCUAAUCGGGAACCUGAGGCAGGAGAAUGGCAUGAACCCGGGAGGCGGAGCUUGCAGUGAGCCGAGAUGGUGCCACUGCACCCCAGCCUGGGCGACAGAGCAAGACUCCCUCUAAAAAAAAAAAAAAAAAAAAAAAAAAACCGCACUGAGGGGAAAAGUCAAUGUGAAAUUCUACAAAAGCUGAAAAUUCACUACCACCAGCCAUUACCACAAAAAAAAAAAAAAGUUGAAGGAGUCCUCCAGGCAGAACGAAACUGACAUCGGAUGAAAAUCUGGUUGUACAAAAAAAAAAAAAAAAAAAAAAAACUAGACAUGACAUCUAAUAGACGAAUAUAUAAUUUUAACAUCUGACUGUUUAGCUGGGCGUGGUGGCUCACGCCUGUAAUCCCAGCACUUUGGGAAGCUGAGGCAGGCAGAUCACUUGAGGUCAGGUGGUUGAGACCAGCUUGGCCAAUAUGGUGAACCCCUCUCUCUACUAAAAAUACAAAAAUUAGUCCGGUGUGGUGGCCCACGCCUGUAAUCUCUGCUACUCAGGAGUCUGAGUCAGGACAAUCGCUUGAACCCGGGAAGCAGAGGUUGCAGUGAGCCAAGAUUGUUCCACUGCACUCCAGCCUAUCUGGAACCUAGUUUGAUCUGGAGGGAUCUUAUUUUAUAGGAGGCUUGGAGGGGGACCUUUUGCUUUGUGUACUUAUAGGAUGCACAAGACACAAGGGAACAAUCUCUCACUUUUUAAAUACAGUGAUAGGCCUGAGGAGAAACAACUGCAAUUUUUUUUUUUUUUUUUUUUUUUAAUGAGAUGGGAUUCUCACUGGUCUUGAACUGAGCUCAGGCGAGGCUUCCCCUACGUCGGCCUCUCAAAGUGUUGGGAUUAAUAGGCGUGAGCCACCGCGCCUGACCACAACUAACCAACAUUUAAAAGCACGUCCCUGGGUAGGCUCGAACCACCAACUUUCCGGUUAACAGCCGAACGCGCUAACCAAUUGCUCCACGGAGAUAACCUCAGUUGGUCGCUUUCAUCUCAACAUAGAUUAAGCAAUCACUAAACUCUAGGGGUUGCCAUUCGCUUUCUGCAGGACAACUGUGCAGACUACAAAGCUUCGGAAAACCGGAGAGGCUGAGUCGACUAAUCGUGUUGUUGCACGUUAGAAACGCUUGCAUUGCCUGACUCUGAAACCAGAAGGGCGGCCGAAUGGCCUUCACCCUCCAUUAACCCUCGCCUCCUUCAGAAGCCAGUGCCUCUGGAAAUGCCUGGAUCUGCGACCCCAGCCUGAGCCUAGUAGGGCCCAAGGGAAGCUGAACGCCCCGACGGCUCUCAUGCUAAACAAGCACUGGCCUUGAGAUAAGCAAUGCUGAAGCACUUGCAGCUCACCUAUUACCAUAAACUGACUGAGCCCUCCCUACACAAGCCGUAACUACUGCUUUGAUUGGACAAGAGACUGAUUUCAGUAGUUUUCUCUUGAUAAGAGACCACUGGCCGUGGGCGGGUUCUGGACAGUUUACAGAAGCUAUGCACUUGAUUGCCUUUGUGUCCCUGCUUCACCUUUUGAAGCAUAGGGCCUAAUUAUAAUGUAUUUAAAUGUUGUCUCCACCCCAAAGUGAACAUGGGUUGCAUGUAACAGGCAUGUUUACUCAGCAUGCAUGCAGCAGGAUCCCUUCACAAAUAUUCAGAGCUCCCCCUAUUCCCUGUUGAAUAUGUAUAUGUGGCCAGCCAGAUCAACGUAAAUCACUAUUCGCCCUCCCCUCCCUGGAAACCUACUUUUCGGGUUUCAGCAGGAAGCUAUGCCUCCCAGUCUGUCAGAAUGGCCACUUGCAGGCUGUAACCCUUUAUAAAAAAAUAAAAUCUCCUUUCUAAAUUUA
rnacentral:tRNA from 1 species